UGCCUCGUAGCCAAGUGGUAAGGCACAAGACUUUGACUCUUGCAUUCCGCUGGUUCGAAUCCAGCCGAGGCAA
rfam:Clostridium sp. CAG:524 genomic scaffold, scf41